rnacentral:rRNA from 1 species
CCUACGGGAGGCAGCAGUGGGGAAUCUUGCGCAAUGGGCGAAAGCCUGACGCAGCCAUGCCGCGUGAAUGAUGAAGGUCUUAGGAUUGUAAAAUUCUUUCAGUAGGGACGAUAAUGACGGUACCUACAGAAGAAGCCCCGGCUAACUUCGUGCCAGCAGCCGCGGUAAUACGAAGGGGGCUAGCGUUGCUCGGAAUUACUGGGCGUAAAGGGAGCGUAGGCGGGUUAUCAAGUUGGAGGUGAAAGCCCAGGGCUCAACCUUGGAAUUGCCUUCAAAACUGAUAGCCUAGAGUAUGAUAGAGGUAUGUGGAACUCCGAGUGUAGAGGUGAAAUUCGUAGAUAUUCGGAAGAACACCAGUGGCGAAGGCGACAUACUGGGUCAUGACUGACGCUGAGGCUCGAAAGCGUGGGGAGCAAACAGGAUUAGAUACCCUGGUAGUCCACGCUGUAAACGAUGAUUGCUAGUUGUCGGACGGCAUGCCGUUCGGUGACGCAGCUAACGCAUUAAGCAAUCCGCCUGGGGAUACGGUCGCAAGAUUAAAACUUAAAGGAAUUGACGG